AUUGAACGCUGGCGGCAGGCCUAACACAUGCAAGUCGAACGAGUGGCGGAGGGGUGAGUAAUGUCUGGGAAACUGCCUGAUGGAGGGGGCUAACUACUGGAAACGGUAGCUAAUACCGCAUACCAUCAGAUGUGCCCAGGUGGGAUUAGCUAGUUGGUGGGGUAACGGCUCACCAAGGCGACGAUCCCUAGCUGGUCUGAGAGGAUGACCGGCCACACUGGAACUGAGACACGGUCCAGACUCCUACGGGAGGCAGCAGUGGGGAAUAUUCCACAAUGGGCGAAAGCCUGAUGCAGCCAUGCCGCGUGUAUGAAGAAGGCCUUCGGGUUGUAAAGUACUGUCAGCGGGGAAGCGUUACCCACAGAAGAAGCACCGGCUAACUCCGUGCCAGCAGCCGCGGUAAUAC
rnacentral:rRNA from 1 species